GAGUUUGAUCGUGGCUCAGGAUGAACGCUGGCGGCGUGCUUAACACAUGCAAGUCGAACGGGGUUAUGAAGUGUGAGGAGUCAGCUUGCUGGUGACGAACAGUUCAUAACUUAGUGGCGGACGGUCGAGUAACGCGUGGUAACCUGCCAUAUACAGGGGGAUAACACUUAGAAAUAGGUGCUAAUACCGCAUAAGCGCACGGAGCUGCAUGGCUCAGUGUGAAAAACUCCGGUGGUAUAUGAUGGACCCGCGUCUGAUUAGCUUGUUGGCGGGGUAACGGCCCACCAAGGCGACGAUCAGUAGCCGGCCUGAGAGGGUGGACGGCCACAUUGGGACUGAGACACGGCCCAAACUCCUACGGGAGGCAGCAGUGGGGAAUAUUGGACAAUGGGGGAACCC
rnacentral:rRNA from 1 species